GAACUUAUCUGUCCUUCUGUUAAAACAUUUUGAGACAUGUCCACAUUUUAUUUUCAUUUUAACUACCUUAUUUUAUUCACAUUAUUAUUCUAAGCCCGAUCAAUUUUUACAAAAUGAUCAGAUUAUAAGUCCUAAAUGAAAUACCACUAAUUUGAAUCAUAUUCAGAAUGUAAUUUGUUAAGUAAGAAAUUGUACAAGAAAUGUGAUAGAUCGUGCAAAAAUUAUAGGUCUUAAAUCCUACAUAUCUCUAAUCAAAUGAUUUUAAUACUAAUUUUCAUUACAAUUAAAGGAUUCAGUAAGGAUUGUAAGUACUUUCGAUUAUGCUGAAGACUCGGAACAAGUUCUGAUAUUUUAGCAUAGAUGACAGGAUGCAUGCAAUGUAUCAGCAUGUAAAAUGAAGGAAAGAUAGAAAAACAGUCACGGCAAUUUUGUGCAGUAGUACUAUCAUGCUGCUGUGCACGUAAAACAAUUUAAUCACACAUAACAUAGUAAUAAUGCUUACUUAUUGCUAGAAAAACAGGAUUUUAAUUAUUUUAAUGAUAAAUCUGCUUUAUAAUUAGGCGGAAAAGCAAGCUGUGAAAAAGCAACUUUAGUACUUAAUUCUAGUGUUAAUUUCAAAAACAAACAAAUAAAAAACUGAAAAACAAGCGAACACAAAGACAUGCUGAAAUGGUUCUUUUAGAGUAUUACAAGCCGUAUGGUGCUUUGUAGUUUACAAGUUUUAUACCCAUGCCUGAAUGCAUUUUGAUCUCAAAGCAUCUUUUGGGGUAGGUGUGGCAGGCAUUAUUGUUCAUUCCUACAAAUAGAGUUUAAAAUUUUUAAGAAAAUCAUUUUAGUACUUUAUUGAAAAUGCUAUAUUUGCAGCCUUAACUCUUGAUGUUUGUAGAACAUUGAAUUUUAUUGAUUGUAAGAUAAAUUUAUUUCAACUGGAUUGUUUACAGUCAAUAAACUCUAAAAUCAUGUCACGGAGGUAGAGUCAGAUUAUGGUUGCCAUUUACCUGUGUAUGUGCAAACCUCAAAAACCUCAGUCUUCAAACUUGGAGAAUGAGCGUUCUUGUGGAAGAUUAUUCUUCAGAGAUGAUAGUGGAGUACUCUUUAAAACCCUAGGUACCAAAUUGCUGGAGAAGUGUUUGAAGGAUGUGAUGGAUCCCAUAUGUUUUACCAGCAUACUAUAAGUUGAAAUCAAAAGUUGACUGGUCUUACAUAAUUGCAAAGUCAGAUGUCAGAUGCCAACAUCAAAAGCUCUUCGAAAAUAUCACAUAACCAAUGCUCUUUGUAACCCAAGGGAUGACAGUGUGUGGAAAAGCACAAACGUCAAGAACUCUAAACCUAAAAGUUAUUUAGACAAGUUAAAUUCCAAAUGUGAAGCAAUUAUAGACUGUUAAUAUAUUUGCCUUGUAAAUUUGUAUGUAUAUGCAUGAUAAAAAUCUAUCACUAAUUAAGAGUAAAAAACUUGCAACAUAUAUAAGCUUUCUAGAUAUUAAAAUGCGUAUCAUUUAAUUGAA